GUUGAGGAGAAUGUCGUCUGGUUCGAGAUCUUUCAUAAGAAGGUAACAUGCAAUGAGAUGAUUUCGGACCAGGCUUCAUUCCCCUCAAC
rfam:Solanum tuberosum cultivar DM 1-3 516 R44 scf00665_4, whole genome shotgun sequence.